rnacentral:rRNA from 1 species
AGAGUUUGAUCCUGGCUCAGAUUGAACGCUUGCGGCAUGGCUAAAGCAUGCAAGUCGUACGCGAAACCGGCUUCGGCCGGGAGUAGAGUGGCGAACGGGCGAGGAAUGCGUUUCUAACGUGCCCCAAGGUCGAGGAUAGCUCGGGGAAACCCGGGGUAAUACUCGAUGACCCCCAUGGAUCGCAUGGUUCGUGGGGCAAAGGCUUGCUGCCUUGGGAUCGGGAAACGCCCUAUCAGGUUGUUGGUGAGGUAACGGCUCACCAAGCCUAAGACGGGUAGCGGGUGUGAGAGCAUGACCCGCCGCAUCGGGACUGAGACACUGCCCGGACUCCUACGGGAGGCUGCAGCAACGGAUAUUGGGCAAUGAGCGAAAGCUUGACCCAGCAAUGCCGCGUGCAGGAGGAAGCCCCUCGGGGUGUAAACUGCUGUCAGGGUUUAGGAAGUUCUGACCAAACCCAAAGGAAGGGCCGGCUAACUUCGUGCCAGCAGCCGCGGUAAUACGAAGGGCCCAAGCGUUAAUCGGAAUCACUGGGCUUAAAGGGUGCGCAGGCGGAAUGGUCAGUGUCUUGUGAAAUCCCACGGCUCAACCGUGGAACUGCAGGGCAUACUGCCAUUCUGGAGGCCGGUAGAGGCCGCCGGAACUCUAGGUGUAGCGGUGAAAUGCGUAGAUAUCUAGAGGAACGCCAAAGACGAAGGUAGGCGGCUGGGCCGGUUCUGACGCUCAGGCACGAAAGCGUGGGGAGCAAACAGGAUUAGAUACCCUGGUAGUCCACGCGUAAACGUUGUGCACUAGGUGCUGGAGGUUCUGACACCAUCAGCGCCGAAGCGAAAGUGAUUAGUGCACCGCCUGGGGAGUACGGUCGCAAGGCUAAAACUCGAAGGAAUUGACGGGGGCUCACACAAGCGGUGGAGCAUGUGGCUUAAUUCGAGGCAACGCGAAGAACCUUAUCCUGGGCUUGACAUGCAUGGAUUAACGCUGGGAAACCAGCGCCACACUCUUUGAGUGGAACAUGCACAGGUGCUGCAUGGCUGUCGUCAGCUCGUGCUGUGAAGUGUUGGGUUAAGUCCCUUAACGAGCGAAACCCCUGUCGCUAGUUACCAUCAGGUAAUGCUGGGGACUCUAGCGAGACUGCCGGUGUCAAACCGGAGGAAGGCGGGGAUGACGUCAAGUCCUCAUGGCCUUUAUGCCCAGGGCUGCACACGUGCUACAAUGGCGCCGACAGAGCGAAGCAAAACCGCGAGGUAGAGCAAAUCGCAAAAAAGGUGCCCCAGUUCGGAUUGCAGUCUGCAACUCGACUGCAUGAAGCCGGAAUCGCUAGUAAUCGCGUAUCAGCAACGACGCGGUGAAUACGUUCCUGAGCCUUGUACACACCGCCCGUCAAGUCAUGGAAGCCGGGAGUACCCGAAGUCGCACCGAUUCAGGUGUGCCGAUGGUAAGCUCGGUGACUGGGACUAAGUCGUAACAAGG